rnacentral:misc_RNA from 1 species
UCACGUCUUACGACGGCAGUUUCACUAGAGUUCCCAGCGUUACCUGAUGGCAACUAGUGAUGGGGGUUGCGCUCGUUGCGGGACUUAACCCAACACCUCACGGCACGAGCUGACGACAGCCAUGCAGCACCUGUCACCGGUCCAGCCGAACUGAAGGUCUCCAUCUCUGGAGACCGCGACCGGGAUGUCAAGGGCUGGUAAGGUUCUGCGCGUUGUAUCGAAUUAAACCACAUGCUCCACCGCUUGUGCAGGCCCCCGUCAAUUCCUUUGAGUUUUAAUCUUGCGACCGUACUCCCCAGGCGGGGCACUUAAUGCGUUAGCUGCGGCACCCAGGGGGUCAAUACCCCGGACACCUAGUGCCCAUCGUUUACAGCGUGGACUAC